CGGAAUCCCAGCUCCACUUACCAGGCCGCGGCUACCCCGCCGUCCCCCCCGACUCCCGCCACCCCGCUCUCUCAGGCUCUUCAGGAUCCAAGUCCGUAGGCCCUUUAAGGGGUCUAGUUGCCGUUUGCGAGGCCCUGGGACUUUGGUCCCAGACAGCGGGGAUCCGGAUGGCUUCCGUGCGGAUCCGAGAGGCCAAGGAGGGAGACUGUGGAGAUAUCCUGAGGCUGAUUCGGGUGAAGACUGCAGGCCGGUAACCCGGGGGUCAGAGUGGCGCGGCCAGAGCGGGGUCGUAGGAGGCGGGGGCAGGGGGAGGGGCUCGCCUUGGGAACCUGCUCGGGGAGCAGCGGGGCCCUUCUGCUCUAAUCUAGCUUCCGUACCCACGCCUUAGGAGCUAGCCGAAUUCGAAAAACUCUCGGAUCAGGUGAAGAUCAGUGAAGAAGCCCUGAGAGCAGAUGGCUUUGGAGACAAUCCUUUCUAUCACUGUUUGGUAGCAGAGAUUCUUCCAGCGCCCGGGAAGCUACUGGGUCAAGGGAUUGGUUCCAAAAUAAUCAAAAAGGUGGCUGAGGUGGCCUUGGAUAAGGGCUGCUCCCAAUUCCGCCUGGCCGUCCUGGACUGGAACCAGAGGGCCAUGGACUUGUACAAGGCCCUAGGAGCCCAAGAUCUGACGGAAGCUGAGGGCUGGCACUUCUUCUGCUUUCAAGGAGAGGCAACGAGAAAGUUGGCAGGAAAGUGACGCCAUCCCUAGGAGGAUCUCUGUCUUGAGUUUCUCCUUCCCCAUCAGCUGAAGCACUCUUCAGAGACUACGUCCACAGAC
rnacentral:lncRNA from 1 species